rnacentral:rRNA from 1 species
AUUGAACGCUGGCGGCAGGCCUAACACAUGCAAGUCGAACGGUAACAGGAAGAAGCUUGCUUCUUUGCUGACGAGUGGCGGACGGGUGAGUAAUGUCUGGGAAACUGCCUGAUGGAGGGGGAUAACUACUGGUAACGGUAGCUAAUACCGCAUAACGUCGCAAGACCAAAGAGGGGGACCUUCGGGCCUCUUGCCAUCGGAUGUGCCCAGAUGGGAUUAGCUAGUAGGUGGGGUAACGGCUCACCUAGGCGACGAUCCCUAGCUGGUCUGAGAGGAUGACCAGCCACACUGGAACUGAGACACGGUCCAGACUCCUACGGGAGGCAGCAGUGGGGAAUAUUGCACAAUGGGCGCAAGCCUGAUGCAGCCAUGCCGCGUGUAUGAAGAAGGCCUUCGGGUUGUAAAGUACUUUCAGCGGGGAGGAAGGGAGUAAAGUUAAUACCUUUGCUCAUUGACGUUACCCGCAGAAGAAGCACCGGCUAACUCCGUG